CAGUCGCCACGGUAAUACGUAGGUGGCAAGCGUUGUCCGGAAUUAUUGGGCGUAAAGGGCUCGCAGGCGGUUUCUUAAGUCUGAUGUGAAAGCCCCUGGCUCAACCGGGGAGGGUCAUUGGAAACUGGGAAACUUGAGUGCAGAAGAGGAGAGUGGAAUUCCACGUGUAGCGGUGAAAUGCGUAGAGAUGUGGAGGAACACCAGUGGCGAAGGCGACUCUCUGGUCUGUAACUGACGCUGGGGAGCGAAAGCGUGGGGAGCGAACAGGAUUAGAUACCCCCGUAGUCCCUGUCUCUUAUAC
rnacentral:rRNA from 1 species